GACAGAGGGGGCAAGCGUUGCUCGGAAUCACUGGGCGUAAAGGGCGCGUAGGCGGGAUGGCAAGUCAGUCGUGAAAUCUCUCGGCUCAACCGAGAAACGUCGGCUGAUACUGCCGUUCUUGAGGGAUGCAGAGGAGACUGGAAUUCCCGGUGUAGCGGUGAAAUGUGUAGAGAUCGGGAGGAACACCGGUGGCGAAGGCGGGUCUCUGGGCCAUUACUGACGCUGAGGAGCGAAAGCGUGGGGAGCGAACAGG
rnacentral:rRNA from 1 species